rnacentral:rRNA from 1 species
UACAGAGGGUGCAAGCGUUGUUCGGAAUCAUUGGGCGUAAAGGGCGUGUAGGCGGUUUGUUAAGUCAUGUGUGAAAUCCCUCGGCUCAACCGGGGAACGACGCAUGAAACUGACAAGCUAGAGUACCAAAGAGGGGGGUGGAAUUCCCGGUGUAGCGGUGAAAUGCGUAGAGAUCGGGAGGAACACCAGUGGCGAAGGCGACCUGCUGGGCCAGUACCGACGCUGAGGUGCGAAAGCGUGGGGAGCGAACCGG